rnacentral:rRNA from 1 species
UCGGAACGUGUCCUGUAGUGGGGGAUAGCCCGGCGAAAGCCGGAUUAAUACCGCAUACGCUCUACGGAGGAAAGGGGGGGAUCUUAGGACCUCCCGCUACAGGGGCGGCCGAUGGCAGAUUAGCUAGUUGGUGGGGUAAAGGCCUACCAAGGCGACGAUCUGUAGCUGGUCUGAGAGGACGACCAGCCACACUGGGACUGAGACACGGCCCAGACUCCUACGGGAGGCAGCAGUGGGGAAUUUUGGACAAUGGGGGCAACCCUGAUCCAGCAAUGCCGCGUGUGUGAAGAAGGCCUUCGGGUUGUAAAGCACUUUUGUCCGGAAAGAAAACGCCGUGGUUAAUACCCGUGGCGGAUGACGGUACCGGAAGAAUAAGCACCGGCUAACUACGUGCCAGCAGCCGCGGUAAUACGUAGGGUGCAAGCGUUAAUCGGAAUUACUGGGCGUAAAGCGUGCGCAGGCGGUCCGCUAAGACAGAUG